rnacentral:rRNA from 1 species
ACGGAAUAGCCUUUGGUAAACGAAGAGUAAUACCGUAUACGCCCUUCGGGGGAAAGAUUGAUCGGAGAAGGAUCGGCCCGCGUUAGAUUAGAUAGUUGGUGGGGUAAUGGCCUACCAAGUCUACGAUCUAUAGCUGGUUUUAGAGGAUGAUCAGCAACACUGGGACUGAGACACGGCCCAGACUCCUACGGGAGGCAGCAGUGGGGAAUCUUAGACAAUGGGCGCAAGCCUGAUCUAGCCAUGCCGCGUGAGUGAAGAAGGCCUUAGGGUCGUAAAGCUCUUUCGCCAGGGAUGAUAAUGACAGUACCUGGUAAAGAAACCCGGCUAACUCCGUGCCA